rnacentral:rRNA from 1 species
CGUGUAGGCUGCUUGGAAAGUCGGAUGUGAAAGCCCUGGGCUCAACCUAGGAAGAGCAUUCGAAACUUCCAAGCUCGAGUUUCGGAGAGGAAGGCGGAAUUCUCGGUGUAGAGGUGAAAUUCGUAGAUAUCGAGAGGAACAUCGGUGGCGAAGGCGGCCUUCUGGACGAUGACUGACGCUGAGACGCGAAAGCGUGGGGAGCAAACA